UACGUAGGGGGCGAGCGUUAUCCGGAUUUACUGGGCGUAAAGCGCGCGUAGGCGGGUUGGUAAGUCCGCUGUGAAAGCCCGGAGCUCAACUCCGGAGGGUCGGUGGAUACUGCCAGUCUUGAAGGUGCUAGGGGGAGAUGGAAUUACCGGUGUAGCGGUGAAAUGCGUAGAUAUCGGGAGGAACACCUGUGGCGAAAGCGGCUCACUGGACCACAACUGACGCUGAGGCACGAAAGCUAGGGGAGCAAACAGC
rnacentral:rRNA from 1 species